UCAAAGUGGCCCAACCAAGAGAUGAAAUCUCGGUUCUUUCUCUCUCAUUUUCACGGCUUCUGUUCCUCAAUUCCUCCACCCAAAUCAGCAGCCUCUCUUCCCAAAUCUCGCCAGCGCCGCUCAAGACCUCUCUCUCUCUCUCGCCCGCUCUACGCGAGCUCCGCCGCGAACGGCUCCGGCGAGAACGACGGCCAGCCGAGGACAUCGCCCCUGGUCCAUUUCUCUCUCUCUCCAUCUACUUCCCUCUCUCAAUUUCUCACCCGAUCUGUCUCCCGCAGAUCUGCCGUCGCCGCUCCGUACUCUGACCAUUCCAGCCGCCGGCGAGGCCAGCGUUGCUCAGAACCCCGACGUCGGUCUGCUCCCUCAUCUCCUCUCUCUCGAUUUACCUCUCAAACUCGACUGAGAGGAGGAGCCCUAGCUUUCCCUGAGAUCGAAUCCUCCGCCGUUUCUGUAAGUCCGGCGACCGCUAGUUGUCGUUCCCCCUCCAAACUUGGUGUCUCGGCCUCAAAUCCGUGUUCGGGAAGAAGAGAGUGGAAGGGCGAGCCCUAAUCGUCAAAUACCAGGUCGCCGCUGCACCGCGUCUCCAUCAGAAUCUGAUGGCUGGUCGCCGUGGCUCUGUAAAUCCGGCAACUGACUGCCGGUUUCGCUCUCCUCCACGAAUCGCCGCCAUCUCCUUCGCGUUCCUCCGGCGACCAGGUAAAGUCCGCCUUCGUUGUUCUCCGGGGUCGACGGGGUUCGAUUUGUGCCACGCCACCGCCGCUGCUGCUACUGGAGGCCGGCUUCGCCGUUGCUGUCGCUGUUCCCGGCGAAGGGUGUCGCCUCGCCUACUCCUCGGCGCCGUUAAAUCCCGAUUCAGAGCAGGGCAAUCGGCCCUAUUUCUUAAGCUAAGUUCUCUAGUUUCAUUCUACUAUUGUAUCUUGAUUCAUUUGCUUAUGAUGUGAAAGUUUAAUACGAGGGGUUGUGGUUUUUCCUAAUUCCGUUUAUAAGCCGUGGAAAUUUUGCUACUGUGCUAAAUGAAUAACAGCGUUGUUAUAUGCUCGUCAAUGAGCCCUGUGUUGGAUUAUGAGCUAAGGUGUAUUCUUUCUUUGUUUUGCAUAAACUACAUAUGCUUGUUGUUCUAGAGUGCAGCCUGUUUGUUGAAGUUUAUACUUUCUAUUGUACGAAAUAUCUAGGGCUAUUUGAUGUAGAUGAACUGUGAUAUGCUAGAUAUGGAUGCAAACUGAGUUGAAUAUUUGGGAUAUCAAAUUACCUUGAGUAUUUUGUGUUGGUAGCUGCUGUUGUUGAUAAUGAAUUCAAUGGAGAAGAAACUCUCGAUACUUGGCAGUUGGCAGCAGGAACUUCAUCUCCCUUUCUGGUGCUUGGUGUAUGAGAGAAGGAAUGAAGUAAGUGGAAAGUUUGGUGGAGAAAAAGGGUGGUGGUGCAGGCUAGUGCGUAGGUCUCAUUUUUGUUAAGUGGAGGUAGUGGUUGAUAAAUAAUUAGAUAGUGGAAGAUGAUUGUCUUAAGCAUGAUCUUCCUCCUAAAGCCAGCAAAUUCGAGAGUUUUAUUUUUUACCCAAAUGUACUGCGUCACUCUUGCUGCCAGUGGUGAGCUUAUAUGCAAAGAUUUCUUCUUGUACUCAGAAAAAAAAUCAAUUACUGCAUUGAUUGAUAGUGGUGGUUGAAGUUCUAAUUGUAAAUAAUAAUAAAUCUUUGUGUCUUGGUUACUCAGUGCAUCUACUAUUUAAUCGCGUGUUUGCAAUCAAAUAUUGGCUUCAUGCUCAAUCAUGCAUUUCUGUAUCUUGCUUGAUAUCUUUUUCCUUACCUGCUAACUUGAUAAACUGUAAUAUAACUUAAAUUAAAUCCGUAGAUUUAAUCUGCGUUGUAGUCGGAAUAAUUCCUCGACUUCUAGUAAAUAAUAGAAAUAAUAUUUCUAUCGCAUAUAAAUUAAUAACUUGACUUUGCUAAGUCAGUUAUUAAACUGGAUAAUAAAUUAUUGAAUGACUCAAUAAUCCUCGUCGCGUUUUUCUCAUACGUUAUAAAGUAUAAAGCUAAAAUAAUAACUCCGUUUCUGAUAAAAAAAAAUCAGGACCAUAAACUGGAUUCAUUUAUAAAAAUUGCAUUUACUAGUUUUAAUCAUAAUUAAAAGAGCGGGCUACUACAUACUACCCCUCUUAACAAAAAUUUCGUCCCGAAAUUUGCAUAUCUCUGCUAAAACAGUUCGGGGUAUUUUUCCUUCAUCUUGUCUUCAAGUUCCCGACGUAGCUAUUCUUUUGUCUGCUGGCAAGGGGGUGUGGGUGUUCCCAAUUGCUGAACCUCGUUGUCUGUUGGGGCAUUGCGUGGAGUAGUGACCCUUUUGGCCACAAUUGUAACAACCGUUAGUUCCAGCACGACAGACACCCCUAUGCAUCUUACCGCAAUUUGGGCAAGGUGAAACUCCUUUCUGACUUUGAUUACCCCCAGUUGGCUCGAGGUUAGUCUGUGCCUCGUACCUUGGUUGAAUAAACUGUUCGGCCCGUUCCUUUUCUUGCCACACUUUCUUACUAGUCUGAUUGAUAUUGUCUUCGUUGUUGUCCCACUUGCGCUUCCCUUUGAGGGUAUGCGAGGCUGCUGGUGGAUCGUUUGGCGUUGAGAUCAACAGUGGGGCUGACUUGUCUGACGGCAUUGCAGCUUCAAUGUCAAGUGCCCUGUUCAGAGACUCCGUGUAUGAGAGUCCUCCGUGGCUUGCUAGGGCCAUCCUAAUUUCGUGUCGCAGACCGGUACAAAAUUUCUCUGCCAUCUUCUCAUCUGUGUCCACUUGUUGCGGAGCAAACCUAGACAGGUUGCAGAAUUCCUUGUCGUAUUCAACCACAGAUUUCUUUCCUUGCUUUAACUCGUAGAACUCAGCUUCUUUCUUCUUCCUAUAGCUUUUCGGAAUAUAUUUAUCAUAUAAUCCUGUCUUAAAAUCUUCCCAAGUAUAACUUGCCCAUUGUUCAGGUGUCAGAAUUUUUCGACGUGCUUCCCACCAGAAGUCAGCUGAUCCUGUUAGCUGGAAUGAGACGCAAGAUAGGCGCUCCUCAUCAGUACAACGUAGAAAGUUGAAAAUGCGUUCCAUUGCACGCACCCAAAUCUCAGCUUCAGCCGGUUCACUCGUUCCGUCAAACGUAGGUGGAUUUUGCCUUAAAAAGAGUUCUUCGACUCUCCUAGUUGGGGGCGGAGGGGAUGGGUUAUGUCCUCGAGCAUCUUGUGGUUCUUCGGGUACAGCGUUACGGUUUCUGCGAUUGUUAUUGUUUCUCGCAGGGCGUCCUCUCUUAGGCGGCAUUCUGAUAGCAGGGAUGUGUCAAUUAGUACUCUCUAGCAUAAUCUAAUACAAACCUCAAAAGAAUUCUUGUAAAGGUCAACUUAUUAUAACUUGUAAACAAGUCAUGACUCAAAUGACAACAUUGAUGUAGUAAGCUUUAAAGGUCCUUAGCAUCUCAUAUCCAUGAGUCAUAUCAAUUCUUAAGCAUAUAAUAUCACAUCAUCUAAAUUGGAUACUUAAGCAUAAGUCAUGGAGAUUUAUAGCGGCUAUAAAAUCAUGAGCUUAAAAAUAAUUCUAUACGCAUCACUUAUCUUGUUGCCUUCACUACAGUCACCAAAAGAUACAGUCUAAUUUCUUCUAUGUUUGCUUCUAUAUUCUGUAGUAGUGGUGAUCUCAUAUCUUAAUAGCUCUAUGUUCAUAGGGAUUCAUUCCAUAGCCAUACUUAAUCGUGCUUGCGUAAAUCAUUUCAUUCAAUAACAACAUAACAUAGCUAUUAACAGUUACUCACUUUGCUAUUACGAUAAUUCUCACUUUUUGUAAACAUUAACUCAAAACUUGGAAGAGCAUACCAUUCUGCUUCGUUGAGUGUGAUGCGAUGAAGUGCUGAGCUUUGUCAAUUGAACUCUAGACACUUUAGUGAUCCAUUCUAAGUUUGGCUUAAAUAAACUCUUAGGCUCAGAGCAAACGAACUGCUCUGAUACCACUCUGUCACGACCGGCCUUAAUUAAGGAUAAUUAAGCCGGGAAAACCAUGACUGGGGAAGGGAAAUUAAGAAGCGGGUUUAGAAAGGGGCGCAUAAAAGAAUACUCAAAGAGCUUGAAUACGCGUGAAAUAUUCCUUAAAAAGGAAAAAGGCAUAGUUCGCAUAAAAAGGGUACUCAAAGAACUUGUAUACGCGUUAUAUUCCUUAAAAGGAAAAAGGCAUCGUUAGGGGCUUGGCUAAAACAUUAUCAGAGUUUGCAACGGAAGGCGUAACUGAAAUAAUCAGUGUUUACAGCGGAAUGCAUAACUGAGAUACAUGUAUGAAGACAUGUAUCCUUUCUGAGCCUACUUUAAGUUCGACAAAAACUCCACUCAGCAACAACACUUCAUCGCCCAUCACAGCUCAACCUGCACAAACAUAAACAUCGAAGGGCUAAGUACAAGAGUACUUAGUGGGCAGUUGCCAAGCAUAUAACAUAACAUCAUUAACAAUUUCACAAUAUCGCAUAAGAGGCAUGAGUUUCUUUCAUAUCCUUUGCUCAUUAAACAUUUCCAAAUUCAUAAAUAGCAUGAGCGCAUUCUUCAUCAUCAACAAUCAUAAACAAGCAUCGUGUCGUGGAGAAGGCCUUCCCAACGAACACGGGCAUCGCACCGUGAGAGGGGGCCUCCCUCAGCGGUCACGGCAUCGUACUAUUGAGGGAGGCCUCCCCCAACUAGACGCUGUAACACUGGCAUACUGGCAUCGCGCCGCGAGAGAGGCCUCUCUCGAGCGGACACGGGCAUCGCGCCGUGACGGAAGGCCCUCCUCAACGGACACGGCAUCGUACUGUUGAGGGAGGCUCCCCCAACAGACGCAAGCAUCAAUCACAGGCAUAAACUUAUCAGCGUAAAGCAUUCAAGCGUAAAUAAGCGUAAUCAAGCGUAAAUCAUUUAGCGUAAAGCAUAAUAAAGCAUACCAUACUUGAAGAUCCAAUUUGCAUUAUAAAGCAUAACACAUGCAUAGCAUUUUAUUUACGCGUAAGAAAUUGCCCACCUGAUAGCAAAGUUUUGCUAAGGUACUCUAACUCCUUGUGUAGUUCUUACUCUCGCGCUUGACCUUAAUCACGAGAAUAUAAAAUAAGACAUUGCCUCGAGGAAAAUUCUUAAUUAAUGAGAAAGCGUAAUUUAACUAUGCAUGAAUCUGGUAUGCAUGAACUAAUAUUCUGAGCGAUAAUCGGAAAUUCUACUAUUAAUCCUCGUUAAUAGAUUUAACUAAUUCUCAUCUAACGCGGUCGAAUAAAGCUGUGAUUCUUCCAUUCCCAUCGGAAUAUUCUAAUUGUAAAAUAGAUCUCGCAUUUGUACUCGAUCGAAAAUAAAGAACUAACUCGGCUUUAAUCGAGGUGUAAUCUCGUAAAAAUUAUCGGGCUUUUCAAAAUUUAAUAAAUAAUUGAAAACAUUUCUCUUGAGUUAAGAACACCAACAAUAUUCUUACUCGUCUUUCUUUAAUAAUUGGAUUUAUAAUUAAAACCAAUUAAAUACUUUUAUUGCAAGUAAAAAUGCAAUUUCAUGUCAUGCUUAGCAUAUAAUAAGUAAUUUACUUAAUAUAUGCACAUAAUAAUAAUACAAUAUUAUUAUUAUGUAAAUCAUCUUUUGAGAAAAAUAAUUAAUUAAACUAAAUAAAUAGUCUAAUUAAUAAGUAUUCAUUUUUCUUUGAACUGCAGUCCAAUUAAUAAUAAGGUAACCCAUUUCUUUUAAAAAAAACAUAAGCCCAAUGUUUCAAUUUAAAUCAGGGCCCAAAGACUUUAAUAAAAUCGGCCCAAAGACUUUAAUAAAAUCGGCCCAUAGCCAAAGCCCAAUACCAUUUAAACACAAGCCCAAUCUUUUAAAAGAUAAAAGCCCAAUUAAAAAAAAAUGAAGAGGCCCAAAUUCCAUUUAAAAAUCGGCCCAUCACUUAUUAAAAAUCGGCCCAAGACUCGGCCCAAAAUAAAGAAAUAACACGGCCCAAUGUAAACAAAUAAAAAAAGCCCAAAUAAUUAAAAAAGAGGCCCAAACAAUUAAUAAAAUAAAGCCCAACUUAAUAAACUCAGCCCAUCCUCUCUUCUUCUCCCAAGAACACGCUCACUCUCUCUCGCAACUCACAACGUUUUUUUUUUUACAAAAGUCAACGCCCAAGACAUCUUCUUCUCUAACAAAAUUACGCGAGCUCCGCCGCAACGGCUCCGGCGAGAACGACGCCAACCGGACAGCCAACCCUGUCUGCUUCUCUCUCACGACUUCCCUCUCCAAUGAAUCCACCAGAAAUCCACCAACAACAGCCCUAACCGCUCCCAUCAGAAAUCCCAGCCGCCGGCGAAAAACGGGGAUCCGCCCAACGUCAGCUGCUCUCACGCCCCUCUCUCGAGACAUCGCAACCGACUGGAGAGGACCCUGCUUCCCCUGAGUCGAAGCCACCGCCGCUGCUGUAAGGCCGCCGACCGCUUCGUCUCCCCCUCCACUGGCGUCCCCGCCGCAAAUCCGUGAUCGCGAAGAAGACAGUCCAAGCGCGAGCCCUAAUCGUCAAAACCAGGUCGCCGCUGCAC
rnacentral:lncRNA from 1 species